rnacentral:rRNA from 1 species
GAUGAACGCUAGCGAUAGGCUUAACACAUGCAAGUCGAGGGACCGGCGCACGGGUGCGUAACGCGUAUGCAACUUGCCUCACAGAGGGGGAUAACCCGUCGAAAGACGGACCAAUACCGCGUACUGUGAGAUAGGCAUGCGUCCGAUUCGCUAGUUGGUGAGGUAACGGCUAACCCAGGCAAUGAUGGGUAGGGGAACUGAGAGGUUGAAACCCCACACUGGUAAUUAGACACGGACCAGACUCGUACGGGAGGCAGCAGGGGGGAAUAUUGGUCAAUGGGCGAGAGCCUGAACCAGCCAAGUCGCGUGAAGGAUGACUGUCUAUGGAUGGUAAACUUCUUUUGUAGGGGAAGAGGUACCCUACGAAUAAGCAUCGGCUAACUCCGUGCCAGCCGCCGCGGUAAUUC